rnacentral:lncRNA from 1 species
UUUAUCCCGAAUUCAAUUAUAAAAAAUUUAAUUUGAUUAAGAAAAUAAAUUAAAUAAUAUGCAAUUUAAUAUAUCCCUUAUCCCAAUUUUAUCCCUUAGUUAAUUUACAAAACUAUGAUGAUUAUUUUAAUUUUAGAAAAUAAACCCAAAACAAUAUUUUAUAGGAUUAUAAAGUAACAAAAUAUCAUAUCCCUUAUCCAUGAUUA